GCGGCGAACGGGUGAGUAAUACGGGGGGCAACCAUCCCCGAGGAGAGCAUAACCCACCGAAAGGUGGGCUAAUUCUCCAUAGUCUGUCCAGAAGGCAUCUUCUGGCAGUAAAGGUGCCGCAAGGUGCCGCCUCGGGACGGGCUCCCGGCCUAUCAGCUUGAUGCGGGGUAAAGGCCCACCAUGGCUGAGACGGGUAGCUGGCGUGAGAGCGUGACCAGCCAAGGGGAACUGAGACACGGUCCCCACUCCUACGGGAGGCAGCAGUCUAGAAAUUUGGGCAUGGGCGAAAGCCUGACCCAGCGACACCGCGUGGAGGAUGAAGUCCUUCGGGAUGUAAACCCUGUCAGGGGGAACGAUGCCCCGAUAAUCUCGGGGUGACGGUACUCCCAGAGGAAGCCCGGCUAACUACGUGCCAGCAGCCGCGGUAAGACGUAGGGGGCAAGCGCUGUCCGGAUUCCUGGGCGUAAAGGGUGUGUAGGCGGGUUGGCGGGUCGUGGGUGAAAGCCUCCGGCUCAAUGGAGAACUGCCCAUGAAACUACCAACCUUGAGGGCAGAAGAGGGAACCGGAACUUCCGUGUAGCGGUAAAAUGCGUGGAUAUCGGAAGGAACACCGAUGGCGAAGGCAGGUUCCUGGAUGUCCCUGACGCUGAAACACGAAAGCUAGGGGAGCAAACAGGAUUAGAUACCCUGGUAUCCUAGCCGUAAACGAUGCACACUGGGUGAGCCCGUUUCGGGCGUACCGUAGCUAACGCUUAAGUGUGCCGCCUGGGGACUACGGCCGCAAGGUUGAAACUCAAAUGAAUUGACGGGG
rnacentral:rRNA from 1 species